rnacentral:rRNA from 1 species
UGGGGAAUAUUGCACAAUGGGCGAAAGCCUGAUGCAGCAACGCCGCGUGAGCGAUGAAGGCCUUUGGGUCGUAAAGCUCUGUCCUUGGGGAAGAAAAAAAUGACGGUACCCAAGGAGGAAGCCCCGGCUAACUACGUGCCAGCAGCCGCGGUAAUACGUAGGGGGCAAGCGUUAUCCGGAAUUAUUGGGCGUAAAGAGUACGUAGGUGGUCUUUUAAGCGCAGGGUUUAAGGCAAUGGCUUAACCAUUGU